rnacentral:snoRNA from 18 species
AUUUCUGGAAGAUGGAAGAGCAGUGAACGAUCUUUGAAGAGCUGAAUGCUCAGAGUCAACAGAAACCAGAGCAGCAUCAGUGUCUCCAGAUGAGAAAU